AGAGUUUGAUCCUGGCUCACGAUGAGCGCUGGCGGCGUGCUUAACACAUGCAAGUCGAACGAAGCACCUGGAUUUGAUUCUUCGGAUGAAGAUCCUUGUGACUGAGUGGCGGACGGGUGAGUAACGCGUGGGUAACCUGCCUCAUACAGGGGGAUAACAGUUAGAAAUGACUGCUAAUACCGCAUAAGACCACAGGGUCGCAUGACCUGGUGGGAAAAACUCCGGUGGUAUGAGAUGGACCCGCGUCUGAUUAGGUAGUUGGUGGGGUAACGGCCUACCAAGCCGACGAUCAGUAGCCGACCUGAGAGGGUGACCGGCCACAUUGGGACUGAGACACGGCCCAAACUCCUACGGGAGGCAGCAGUGGGGAAUAUUGCACAAUGGGGGAAACCCUGAUGCAGCGACGCCGCGUGAGCGAAGAAGUAUUUCGGUAUGUAAAGCUCUAUCAGCAGGGAAGAAAAUGACGGUACCUGGCUAAGAAGCACCGGCUAAAUACGUGCCAGCAGCCGCGGUAAUACGUAUGGUGCAAGCGUUAUCCGGAUUUACUGGGUGUAAAGGGAGCGUAGACGGCUGUGUAAGUCUGAAGUGAAAGCCCGGGGCUCAACCCCGGGACUGCUUUGGAAACUAUGCAGCUAGAGUGUCGGAGAGGUAAGUGGAAUUCCCAGUGUAGCGGUGAAAUGCGUAGAUAUUGGGAGGAACACCAGUGGCGAAGGCGGCUUACUGGACGAUGACUGACGUUGAGGCUCGAAGCGUGGGGAGCAAACAGGAUUAGAUACCUGGUAGUCCACGCCGUAAACGAUGACUACUAGGUGUCGGGGAGCAAAGCUCUUCGGUGCCGCAGCAAACGCAAUAAGUAGUCCACCUGGGGAGUACGUUCGCAAGAAUGAAACUCAAAGGAAUUGACGGGGACCCGCACAAGCGGUGGAGCAUGUGGUUUAAUUCGGAGCAACGCGAAGAACCUUACCUGCUCUUGACAUCCCGGUGACCGGCACGUAAUGAUGCCUUUUCUUCGGAACACCGGUGACAGGUGGUGCAUGGUUGUCGUCAGCUCGUGUCGUGAGAUGUUGGGUUAAGUCCCGCAACGAGCGCAACCCUUAUCUUCAGUAGCCAGCAUUUGAGGUGGGCACUCUGGAGAGACUGCCAGGGAUAACCUGGAGGAAGGUGGGGAUGACGUCAAAUCAUCAUGCCCCUUAUGAGCAGGGCUACACACGUGCUACAAUGGCGUAAACAAAGGGAAGCAAACCUGUGAGGGUAAGCAAAUCUCAAAAAUAACGUCUCAGUUCGGAUUGUAGUCUGCAACUCGACUAGAUGAAGCUGGAAUCGCUAGUAAUCGCGAAUCAGCAUGUCGCGGUGAAUACGUUCCNCGGGUAUUGUACACAGCGCCCGUC
rnacentral:rRNA from 1 species